UAUUCAGACAGUUGUCAGUUGUAAUUACAAGUUUCGAACACAUUUUAAAUAUUUCAUUAAUAAAAGUUGUUUUAUUCUCCAAAAUAUCUUAGUAGUAACUUAUUGAUAACAUGUGAGAGACCCAAAGCGAUUAGAAUGACAUUGACAGUGAAUCCUAGAUGUUUCUUUUUGUCAUAUUUGUUUUGUGUUUUUUAUUAUCUGGCCUUUAUUCGUUGAUAUUGAUCUUUUGUUUUUAAUAGUAAAUACUAAAAAUUCUACCGA
rnacentral:lncRNA from 1 species